AGCAUGCAAAUGCUAUAGCACUUGCAAACCAUAUGGGCUUAGCAAAUGAAAUAUCUAGCCAAACUGAGGUUGAGCCCCUGGAAAUGUGUUAGAGUGCCCCAAUAGCACAGAUCGACAUCCAAGACCAGGUAAGGAUGUAUGCAAUGCGGCAGAUUAGUCCUUAAGGUUUGGGGUCAAUUAAUAUGAAUUAAUGAAUACAAUCAAUUAUUACAUUCUGAUGUUUAAUUUUCUUUUCUUGGGUAACAACCUGAAGAGAACUGUGAAGUAGUUAUGGAGAAUGUUGUACCUGGCACGCAGGAAAGACUAGCUCAGUGUGAAAAGGAAACAUCUGAUGAGAAUUAAAUAGAAAUCCUGAGUGAGUCAGAUGAAGGAGCCAAAGAAGAG